rnacentral:misc_RNA from 1 species
AACGCACAUUGCGCCUUCUGGUAUUCCGGUAGGCAUGUCUGUCUGAGCGUCAGCAAACCCCCUCAACCGAACAUUUUUUUGUCCUGGUUGGUCUUGGGCUUUGGAGGCUGGGAAACCUGCGCCUGCCCUAAACUUGCUGCACGACCGCUAGCCUCGGCUGGGUCAAUGGAGUGGUGUUACAAUCUUCCAGAAGGCCAACUGUCAAGCUAUGCGGCGUUAAACCUGCUGUCCUAACGGACCGAAGUUUUGACCUCAGAUCAGAUAAGGAUACCCGCUGAACUUAA